CUCAGAUGGAUGAUGAGCUGUGCCUGGUUUUCUUCAGACAUAGCAUUUUUGCGUUCAGGCCAAAGAGUUACAUUUAGUCUCAUCAGACCACAGAAUAUUUUGUCUUUAUGCCCUUUAGUCUUUCACGUGCCUUUUUACAAACUCCAGGCGUGCUGUCAUGUACCUUUUUACAAACUCCAGGUGUGCUGUCAUGUACCUUUUUUACAAACUCCAGGUGUGCUGUCAUGUACCUUUUUUACAAACUCCAGGUGUGCUGUCAUGUACCUUUUUACAAACUCCAGGUGUGCUGUCAUGUACCUUUUUUACAAACUCCAGGUGUGCUGUCAUAUACCUUUUUACAAACUCCAGGUGUGCUGUCAUGUACCUUUUUCUCAGGAGUGGCUUCCGUCUGGCCACUCUCCC
ensembl:lncRNA